CUCCCAGACUCCUACGGGAGGCAGCAGUGGGGAAUAUUGCACAAUGGGGGAAACCCUGAUGCAGCAACGCCGCGUGGGUGAAGGAGCGUUUCGGCGCGUAAAGCCCUGUCAGCGGGGAAGAAGAAAGACGGUACCCGACCAAGAAGCCCCGGCUAACUACGUGCCAGCAGCCGCGGUAAUACGUAGGGGGCGAGCGUUAUCCGGAUUUACUGGGUGUAAAGGGAGCGCAGGCGGCACGGCAAGCCUGAUGUGAAAGCCCGCGGCCCAACCGCGGGACUGCAUUGGGAACUACCGGGCUGGAGUGCCGGAGAGGUAGGCGGAAUUCCUAGUGUAGCGGUGAAAUGCGUAGAUAUUAGGAGGAACACCAGUGGCGAGGGCGGCCUGCUGGGCCUUUACUGACGCUGAGGCUCGAAAGUGUGGGGAGCAAACAGGAUUAGAUACCCCGGUA
rnacentral:rRNA from 1 species